rnacentral:tRNA from 1 species
UUUCAUUGGGUGUAGCGCACGGAAAAAUUUGAAUUUUCAGGAUAAGGGUGAAAC